rnacentral:lncRNA from 1 species
CUUGCCCUCGUGCAAGCCUUGUAUAAUUGCAAAUUCUUUUGGUUGAUUGCUUAAUUAUACAUGUUGUUGGAGUCUUGGGCGGACGGGGGAGAUGCCGUCCGUUCGGCGUCUGUUGACGUGACCCGAACCCGACCAAAUUGGCGGGGAUUGGGGCGUGACAGAUAUAAUGGUAUCAGAGCGAUGAAAGAAAGCAAAAGUCUAUGAUGGACUUAGGAACCUUAGUUUUGGAGACCAUAGGGACUUAGGAAACGUUUAAC